rnacentral:misc_RNA from 1 species
GGAAGUAAAAGCCGUAACAAGGUUUCCGUAGGUGAACCUGCGGAAGGAUCAUUACAGUAGUCACCCAGGUUGCCGCAAGGCCUCCUGGGUAACCUACCACCCUUUGUUUAUUACACUUUGUUGCUUUGGCAAGCCUGCCCUCGGGCUGCUGGCUCCGGCCGGCGAGCGCUUGCCAGAGGACCUAAACUCUGUUUGUCUAUACUGUCUGAGUACUAUAUAAUAGUUAAAACUUUCAACAACGGAUCUCUUGGUUCUG